ensembl:lncRNA
GUUCCUAACCAGUUUAUAGUAGAUAUCCUCAACCCUCAGUCUAGCUGAACACCCAGAUACCCAUGAACAGGUUCCUAACCAGUUUAUAGUAGACAUACUCAACCCUCAGUCUAGCUGAACACCCAGAUACCCAUGAACAGGUUCCUAACCAGUUUAUAGUAGACAUACUCAACCCUCAGUCUUGCUGCCAGCAUCCCCACAAACAUGCCCACCAUGUUCACAGACCCCAGGCUCAGAAUACAAUUCCUCUGUCUCUAAUUUAGCUGCCCCCUGACACAAAAUUAAACAAAAUCACUAUGGCAUGUGGACUAAAACACAUGUGGAAUCCUCCAUUGGGGGUCAGAUGUUUAUUGGUGGAUACAUGUAGAAUCCUCCAUUGGAGGUCAGAUGUCUAUUGGUGGUUACAUGUAGAAUCCUCCAUUGGAGGUCAGAUGUCUAUUGGUGGAUACAUG